rnacentral:rRNA from 1 species
CCUACGGGAGGCUGCAGUGAGGAAUAUUGGUCAAUGGACGAGAGGCUGAACCAGCCAAGUCGCGUGAGGGAAGAAUGUCCUAUGGGUUGUAAACCUCUUUUGUCAGGGAGUAAAGUCACCCACGUGUGGGUGUUGGAGAGUACCUGAUGAAAAAGCAUCGGCUAACUCCGUGCCAGCAGCCGCGGUAAUACGGAGGAUGCGAGCGUUAUCCGGAUUUAUUGGGUGUAAGGGGAGCGUAGACGGGUGGUUAAGUCAGUUGUGAAAGUUUGUGGCUUAACCGUGAAAUUGCAAUUGAUACUGGCAGUCUUGAGAACAGUUGAGGUAGGCGGAAUUCGUGGUGUAGCGGUGAAAUGCUUAGAUAGCACGACGAACCCCGAUUGCGAAGGCAGCUUACUAAACUGUGACUGAGAUUGAUGCUCGAAAGUGUGUGUAUCAAACAGGAUUAGAUACCCCUGUAGUC